GCCUCCGUGGCUUGGUCCUGAAAACAUCCGACUAUGGUGCGGUGGGAUUCGGGUUCGAGCCCCGGUGAAGGCA